UGGGGAAUAUUGCACAAUGGGCGCAAGCCUGAUGCAGCCAUGCCGCGUGUGUGAAGAAGGCCUUCGGGUUGUAAAGCACUUUCAGCGAGGAGGAAGGUGGUGAGCUUAAUACGCUCAUCAAUUGACGUUACUCGCAGAAGAAGCACCGGCUAACUCCGUGCCAGCAGCCGCGGUAAUACGGAGGGUGCAAGCGUUAAUCGGAAUUACUGGGCGUAAAGCGCACGCAGGCGGUUUGUUAAGUCAGAUGUGAAAUCCCCGGGCUCAACCUGGGAACUGCAUUUGAAACUGGCAAGCUAGAGUCUCGUAGAGGGGGGUAGAAUUCCAGGUGUAGCGGUGAAAUGCAUAGAGAUCUGGAGGAAUACCGGUGGCGAAGGCGGCCCCCUGGACGAAGACUGACGCUCAGGUGCGAAAAGCGUGGGGAGCAAAACAGGAUUAGAUACCCUGGUAGUCCACGCUGUAAAACGAUGUCGAUUUUGGAGGUUGUGCCCUUGAGGCGUGGCUUCCGGAGCUAACGCGUUAAAUCGACCGCCUGGGGAGUACGGCC
rnacentral:rRNA from 1 species